ACGGUCUUGAUGGCAAAAUAACCGAAAUUCCGGGGCCCUUGGGCACCAGCGCUGGCGAAAGUCUCAAAUCCUGCAGGCUGUGCUGUGUGACCCCAGGCUUCCAGCUGUCCCUCUCUGAGCUUAGGCAUCGAGUCCGGGAACCGGACCCCACACCUGGCGUGACUCUGCCGCGACCCCCUUCUCCCUGCCGACCUGAAGAGAGCCCCCUUCUCCCCCCGGGGUGGGCAGCCCGCGACACAGAGCAAGACACACAGCAGCCAACCUUCUCACGUCUUUAUUUGAAAGGCACAGCUAAGCCCGCCCUCGAUACAGCAUUUCCACAUCUCUCCGGAGAGAUCAAACAACUGAGCACAAAGAGAGCUGACAGUCUAAAAAGCUAUAUACAGACACGCGUGUGGGUGUGUGGUGUGUUUUUUAAACAUUUCUCUUUCUUAUUUUUUAUUUUUUUCCCAAUAUCCCCUCUCUCUUAAAAGACAAGCUAGCGUACUGGAAAGAGAAGAAGAAAAAUUAAUCAAAACCAACACAUCUUUAGUACCCUCAUCUUUAUUGGGGGAGGGGCCGGGUGGGUGGGGGGCGCCUGGAACUUGCGGGCAGGGACAGGGGUGGGCUGGAGGUGGCGGGGGCGGGGGGGGGGGAGGCGCGAGGGGGUGUUGGGCUUCUAGAAGUUUCUCUCCCUUUGGGUCUGGCCUCCCACUUGCCCCUCCAGGCCUGGCCGGCCUCAUCUGGGGUGUGAGCCGGGGAGGGGGGACGCUGGAAAUCGGGGGUCGGGGUGGGACAGAGGCAAAGCUGGGGGUGGCAGGGCCAGGAGCCCACGCCACCGUAAAUACCACGCAAGGGGCCG
rnacentral:lncRNA from 1 species